GGACAGAUGGCCGAGAUGGUUAUGGCGCCAGGUUAAGGUUAUACCUUAAUUACAUGUGAUAUAUCAAUCACAUAGUUUCCUGGUCACGAAAGUGGCGUGGGUUCGAGUCCCACUCUGUUCA
rnacentral:tRNA from 1 species